rnacentral:rRNA from 1 species
GACGAACGCUGGCGGCGUGCUUAACACAUGCAAGUCGAACGGACAGGCCCUGCUUUUGUGGGGUGCUCGAGUGGCGAACGGGUGAGUAACACGUGAGUAACCUGCCCUUGACUUUGGGAUAACUUCUGGAAACUGGGGCUCAUACCGGAUAGGAGCUCCUGCUCCAUGUUGGUGGUUGGAAAGUUUCGGCGGUUGGGGAUGGAUUCGCGGCUUAUCAGCUUGUUGGUGGGGUAGGGGCUUACCAAGGCUUUGACGGGUAGCCGGCCUGAGAGGGGGACCGGGGACAAGGGGACUGAGAGAGGGAGCAGACGCGUACGGGAGGCAGCAGGGGGGAAUAUGGCAGAAUGGGGGGAAGCGUGAGGCAGCAACGCCGGGUGCGGGAUGACGGCCUUCGGGGGGAAAACCGCUGUCGCAGGUGACGAAGCGUGAGUGACGGUAAUGGGUAAAGAAGCAACGGCUAACUACGUG